GCGAGAGUAGCUCAGUUGGUAGAGCGUCAGCCUUCCAAGCUGAUGGUCGCCGGUUCGAACCCGGUCUCUCGCU
rnacentral:tRNA from 3 species